UACGGGGGGGGCAAGCGUUGUUCGGAAUUACUGGGCGUAAAGGGCUCGUAGGCGGCCUGCUAAGUCGGAUGUGAAAUCCCCAGGCUUAACCUGGGAACUGCAUCCGAUACUGGAUGGCUUGAAUCCGGGAGAGGGAUGCAGAAUUCCAGGUGUAGCGGUGAAAUGCGUAGAUAUCUGGAGGAAUACCGGUGGCGAAGGCGGCAUCCUGGACCGGCAUUGACGCUGAUGAGCGAAAGCGAGGGGAGCAAACGGG
rnacentral:rRNA from 1 species